CUGUCUCUAUAUUUUUAUAUUAAAAUUAUUUAAGGGGUGAAAAUCCCCCUAGGUAAAAUAAUAGACGAGAAGACCCUUAGAGUUAUUAAAAUAUAAAUUUAUUUAUUUAUUCUUUUUUGUUGGGGCAACAAAGUAACAGUCCAAAAUUACUUAUAUAAAUUUAACACAACGAAAACUUUUAAUUCUGAAUUAACUACCUAAGGGAUAACAGCAUAAUUUUAUUUUAAGUUUGUGACCUCGAUGUUGGACUAG
rnacentral:rRNA from 1 species